AGGAAUCGGAAAUGCAUAAUUAAUUGAAAAGGCAAUCAAUAUUAAUGGAAACCUCUUAUUAAAUUAAUUGUAGCAUCAACAAAUUGAUCAACGGAUCCACCAAUCUUGCUUUUAUUUAGCUAUUAUUUUCCUUCCUAUAAAGUCUAUAUCAUUAUUGUUAUUUAUUAUCAUCAUAAAAAAAAAGUAAAUGAUUAAAUCAACAACAUACAAGAGGCAACUAGAAGAAAAGGACAUGAUCACCGACAAUCACCAUUCACGAUCAUUGGUGGGUGGCGGUAGGCAGUAGCAUGGAUUGGAUUUGUAUAUGUAAUAUGAAUUUACAUGAUGGUGCAAGGCGCUGUUGGAUUUUCUUCACAGAUGUAAUCUGAGCAACGACUUCUGUAAUAACCUCUAGUAUCGCAGCCGCCAGCCCAACCCUCAUACACUGGCCUUCCACAGUACCCAUCAUAAUGCCUCGUUUGCCCAUAGCCAAGAUCGUAACAUGGUCCCCCACCGCGCCCCUCAUAACAUUCCCUGCAGCACACCCCGACCGGCGGGUGACACGGAACUGGAGCCGGUGCUGGUGCAGGUGCCGGUGCCGGUGCCGGUGCCGGUGGUGGUGGUGAUGGUUUUGGUGGCUCUUUAGGCUUUUCUGGCUCUUUGGGUUUCGCAGGCUCUUUAGGUUUCUCGGGCUCUUUAGGUUUCUCGGGCUCUUUGGGUUUCUCCGGCUCUUUGGGUUUCUCAGGUUGUUUUGGCUUCUCGGGUUCUUUGGGUUUUUCAGGUUGUUUUGGCUUCUCGGGUUCUUUGGGUUUCUCAGGUGCUUUUGGCUUCUCGGGUUCUUUGGGUUUUGGUGGUGGUGGUUUAGGCUUUUCAGGUUCCAGGAUUGCAAUACUCUUGAUUGAACCUUCACCUUUGCAGCAUAGUUUGUCCCUAAUCUUUUCAGGACUGCAGCACACUACUUUUAUUCUCACCGUAUUCGUCUUCUCAUCGAAUAUCUGGUCUUGUAUUUCUCUUGUUCAUAAAGUUUUCAACAUAUAUAUAUAUAUCUUAGCUCACUGAUCCAUAAUAAACCACUUUUAUUGACAAAUACAAAAAACACAAUCCCACGACUAAUUAAUUAUUAAAGUGAUCGGAGAUAGAGACACUUACGAGGGAAUUUGCAAAGUACUUUCUUGACUUUCUUGUAGCACUUUGAGCACUGAAGGUCAACCUUCAGCACCAUCGUCGUAACCUUCUGUAAACAUUACAGAGAUAGUUGAUUAAUGAAUGAUUUGUAGCCAUCACUGAUAUUUAGUAAUUACAGGCCAGGGAGUGGGAAAUAUUUUAAUGGUUAAUUUCUGAAAUUAAAGAAUUAAUCAACAACAGAAGCAACUCUCUCUUUCUCUCUCUCUCUCUCUCUCUCUCAAUCAUCAUGAGAUGCACAUAAAAAAUUUAACCAAAAGGGCAAUUUACAAAC
rnacentral:lncRNA from 1 species